UCAAACAGGACCUUUUCUUGCAGGAUCUACGGCCUGAAGAGAAUGAAACCACUGAAAAAUGAAAUAGAAUUCUCCAAGGGACUCUACUCCACGGAAAGAAUGUUGCUACUGGAAAACUUCUACAGAGCUGCGUGACUUUAUCGUCUUUUAAGAUUCAUCAGCAUUCAGCGGAGAACCAGACAGAGAAAAAACGUGGUAUGAUCUGCGACAUCAAGGCAAAGGGCCCAAAAGUUGUUCUGGCCCAGGGAAGGGGUCCCAGAGUCAGACUGGCCAGCUUUUACCACGGCUAAUGGUCCAGCAUGCCGGCCAGAGCCCCCGCCUCCUUGGGGCACCUUGAGAAGACUAGGCAACAGCUCUCCCGACCAGGGCCAGUGCCACAGGCUCCCCAUGGCUGUGGAGGACCCCAGCACCCCACACCCACCUCUCCCUGCUCUUCCGUCGGGACCUCCACUGACCAGCCCUGGAUCAGAGGCAGCUCCAUGCCCCGGGUCACACUCAUGGCAUCUGUCUGUCCGGGUCUCUCUGUGCUCAGCGGUGAUCCAUCUGCCUCCUGCUCCUGGGUCCUCCUCUCCCCUGACUGAGCCACCUGUGCCCCUCCUCCACUGCCCCACUGGAUACUGAGAUCCAUCAUCAGUCCUAGCCACCCCCAACCCCUGGGCCAAGGCAGGAGGAACGCACAGGACCACCGCGGUUCCUGAUGUCCAGGAGCCUCUGUUCUCAUCCUGAGUCCAAUCUUAUUCCUGAGAGCUGAGGCCGCCCUGCGCCAGCCUCUGACGGCUGAAUUCCUGCCUUCUUCCCAGCGCUGGAGUCUCCGUCUAAAAGACUCAAGAGAAAGUUGUGCCUUGUUCUGCCUCUCCUCAGCCCUGGAAGUGCUUCCUGCUGUGCACCCUGUGUCCUGGGGGUGGGACCCCCUUCCUCCCGGAGGCCUCCUCUCAGAGCCCCCGAUUAACUAGUGGGAACAUCCUCUCCCUCUAUUUCUGCUCAUUUCUUGGCUUCCACGCCUCUACAAA
rnacentral:lncRNA from 1 species